rnacentral:lncRNA from 1 species
AUGUUAGCUUUAUGCCUCUGCCAAAAAAUGCCUCUUGGGUUGUUAGAAAGAUUCUGGACUGCAGGAUUGAUGUUAUGGAGAACCAACAGUUGCAAGGCAAUCUCUUUAGCAGAUUGAAAUCAAUGUGCAAACUGGACAAGUUUCAAAUCCAAAAGCUAUACCUUACAAUGUUGCCUAAUUACAAUAAGGUAGUUUGGAGGAAUGUGAUGCUGACUGUUAAUGUACAGCCUAGACACAAAUUCAC